rnacentral:lncRNA from 1 species
UCGGUGGCUUUUUGAACAAAAAAAGGAAUCACCUUUUAGUUAUUUUUUUAUACGGAAGCUAUCGUAAUUAAGUUGAAGGAGGAGAAAGUUUUGUUUUGUUGAAGAAGAAAAGUAUUAAUUUGGUAAAAAUUUGGGAUGAUUGCUAUCGGCCACUUGGAACCACUGGAAUGUUCAUCCCACUAACAUCAGGGAUGAAAUAAAAAAAAAAAAAACUUUAGCAGUAGUCACGGGGUAGCUUAGGAGCUGGAAUCGUCUUUUGAGUUGGUUUUUGGACUAUCAUUAUUUUGUUUGGAACUUUGGAAAAGACUUUACGUUAGUUGGUGUUGGACAGUGAUUAAG